ensembl:snRNA U6 U6 spliceosomal RNA
UUCCUAGUUUGGCAGCACAAGCCCUAACGUUAUAACGAGGGAGAAGGUUAGCACAGCCCUUGCGCAAGGAUGACAAGCAAAUUCCCUGAGUUUUGCUAGGGAAUU